rnacentral:rRNA from 1 species
AUACGUAGGGGGCGAGCGUUGUCCGGAAUGAUUGGGCGUAAAGGGCGCGUAGGCGGCCCGGUAAGUCUGGAGUGAAAGUCCUGUUUUUAAGAUGGGAAUUGCUUUGGAUACUGUCGGGCUUGAGUGCAGGAGAGGUAAGUGGAAUUCCCAGUGUAGCGGUGAAAUGCGUAGAGAUUGGGAGGAACACCAGUGGCGAAGGCGACUUACUGGACUGUAACUGACGCUGAGGCGCGAAGGUGUGGGGAGCAAACAGGAUUAGAUACCCUGGUAGUCCACACUGUAAACGAUGAAUGCUAGGUGUAGGGGGUAUCGACCCCUUCUGUGCCGCAGUCAACACAAUAAGCAUUCCGCCUGGGGAGUACGGCCGCAAGGUUGAAACUCAAAUGAAUUGACGGGG